rnacentral:rRNA from 1 species
AUUGAACGCUGGCGGCAGGCCUAACACAUGCAAGUCGAGCGGAUCGGCGGAGGGGUGAGGAAUGGCUAGGAAUCGGCCUGGUGGUGGGGGAUAGCGUUCGGAAACGGGCGCUAAUACCGCUACCUAUCAGAUGAGGCUAGGCCGGAUUGGCUAGUUGGUGGGGUAAAGGACUACCAAGGCGCCGAUCCGUAACUGGUCUGAGAGGAUGAGCAGGCACACUGGAACUGAGACACGGUCCAGACUCCUACGGGAUGCAGCAGUGGGGAAUAUUGGACAAUGGGCGAAAGCCGGAUCCAGCCAUGCCGCGUGUGUGAAGAAGGUCUUCGGAUUGUAAAGCACUUUAAGUUGGGAGGCGUUACCAACAGAAUAAGCACCGGCUAACUUCGUGCCAGCAGCCGCGGUAAUAC